AUUGAACGCUGGCGGCAGGCCUAACACAUGCAAGUCUAACGAGUGGCGGACGGGUGAGCUAUGUCUGGGCCACUGCCUGAUGGAGGGGGUUAACUACCGGUCACGGUUGCUAAUACCGCAUAUCAUCUGCUGUGCCCAGAUGGGAUUAGCUUGUUGGUGGGGUAACGGCUCACCCAGGCGACGAUCCCUAGCUGGUCUGAGAGGAUGACAAGCCACACUGGAACUGAGAGACGGUACAGACGCCUACGGGAGGCAGCAGUGGGGAAUAUUGCACAAUGGGCGAAAGCCUGAUGCAGCCAUGCCGCGUGUAUGAAGAAGGCCUUCGGGUUGUAAAGUACUUUCAGCGGGGAGGCGUUACCAGCAGAAGAAGCACCGGCUAACUCCGUGCCAGCAGCCGCGGUAAUAC
rnacentral:rRNA from 1 species